rnacentral:tRNA from 1 species
AAAGAAUUAGUUUAAAAUAAAACAUUAAAUUGUCAAUUUAAAAAUAUUAUUUUUAUAAUAUACUUUA